rnacentral:rRNA from 1 species
CCCGUUGUUUUUGUUUGAGCAAUGGAGGGACGCAGGAGGCUAAGGAAUCAGACGAUUGGAAAUGUCUGUCCAAGCAACAAGUCUUGAUGUGAGUCAAAUGCUUACGUCUAUAAGGACAAGUUGUGAUGGGGAGGGAAAUAAUAGUACCGAAGUUCCCGAUGUCACACUGCCGAGAAAAGCUUCUAGUGAGAAAAUAAUGGCCCGUACCGCAAACCGACACAGGUAGUCGAGGAGAGAAUCCUAAGGUGAGCGAGAGAACUCUCGUUAAGGAACUCGGCAAAAUGACCCCGUAACUUCGGGAGAAGGGGUGCUGAUCUAACGAUCAGCCGCAGUGAAUAGGCCCAAGCGACUGUUUAUCAAAAACACAGGUCUCUGCAAAAUCGAAAGAUGACGUAUAGGGGCUGACGCCUGCCCGGUGCUGGAAGGUUAAGAGGAGUGCUUAGCGUAAGCGAAGGUACGAAUUGAAGCCCCAGUAAACGGCGGCCGUAACUAUAACGGUCCUAAGGUAGCG